GGUUAAGCGACUAAGCGUACACGGUGGAUGCCCUGGCAGUCAGAGGCGAUGAAGGACGUGCUAAUCUGCGAUAAGCGUCGGUAAGGUGAUAUGAACCGUUAUAACCGGCGAUUUCCGAAUGGGGAAACCCAGUGUGAUUCGUCACACUAUCAUUAACUGAAUCCAUAGGUUAAUGAGGCGAACCGGGGGAACUGAAACAUCUAAGUACCCCGAGGAAAAGAAAUCAACCGAGAUUCCCCCAGUAGCGGCGAGCGAACGGGGAGCAGCCCAGAGCCUGAAUCAGUGUGUGUGUUAGUGGAAGCGUCUGGAAAGGCGUGCGAUACAGGGUGACAGCCCCGUACACAAAAAUGCACAUACUGUGAGCUCGAUGAGUAGGGCGGGACACGUGGUAUCCUGUCUGAAUAUGGGGGGACCAUCCUCCAAGGCUAAAUACUCCUGACUGACCGAUAGUGAACCAGUACCGUGAGGGAAAGGCGAAAAGAACCCCGGCGAGGGGAGUGAAAAAGAACCUGAAACCGUGUACGUACAAGCAGUGGGAGCACGCUUAGGCGUGUGACUGCGUACCUUUUGUAUAAUGGGUCAGCGACUUAUAUUCUGUAGCAAGGUUAACCGAAUAGGGGAGCCGAAGGGAAACCGAGUCUUAACUGGGCGUUAAGUUGCAGGGUAUAGACCCGAAACCCGGUGAUCUAGCCAUGGGCAGGUUGAAGGUUGGGUAACACUAACUGGAGGACCGAACCGACUAAUGUUGAAAAAUUAGCGGAUGACUUGUGGCUGGGGGUGAAAGGCCAAUCAAACCGGGAGAUAGCUGGUUCUCCCCGAAAGCUAUUUAGGUAGCGCCUCGUGAAUUCAUCUCCGGGGGUAGAGCACUGUUUCGGCAAGGGGGUCAUCCCGACUUACCAACCCGAUGCAAACUGCGAAUACCGGAGAAUGUUAUCACGGGAGACACACGGCGGGUGCUAACGUCCGUCGUGAAGAGGGAAACAACCCAGACCGCCAGCUAAGGUCCCAAAGUCAUGGUUAAGUGGGAAACGAUGUGGGAAGGCCCAGACAGCCAGGAUGUUGGCUUAGAAGCAGCCAUCAUUUAAAGAAAGCGUAAUAGCUCACUGGUCGAGUCGGCCUGCGCGGAAGAUGUAACGGGGCUAAACCAUGCACCGAAGCUGCGGCAGCGACGCUUAUGCGUUGUUGGGUAGGGGAGCGUUCUGUAAGCCUGUGAAGGUGUGCUGUGAGGUAUGCUGGAGGUAUCAGAAGUGCGAA
rnacentral:rRNA from 1 species